AGGACGAACGCUGGCGGCGUGCUUAACACAUGCAAGUCGAGCGGUAAGGCCUUUCGGGGUACACGAGCGGCGAACGGGUGAGUAACACGUGGGUGAUCUGCCCUGCACUCUGGGAUAAGCUUGGGAAACUGGGUCUAAUACCGGAUAUGACUGCAUGCCGCAUGGUGUGUGGUGGAAAGAUUUAUCGGUGCAGGACGGGCCCGCGGCCUAUCAGCUUGUUGGUGGGGUAAUGGCCUACCAAGGCGACGACGGGUAGCCGACCUGAGAGGGUGACCGGCCACACUGGGACUGAGACACGGCCCAGACUCCUACGGGAGGCAGCAGUGGGGAAUAUUGCACAAUGGGCGGAAGCCUGAUGCAGCGACGCCGCGUGAGGGAUGAAGGCCUUCGGGUUGUAAACCUCUUUCAGUCAGGGACGAAGCGUGAGUGACGGUACCUGCAGAAGAAGCACCGGCUAACUACGUGCCAGCCAGCCGC
rnacentral:rRNA from 1 species